GUUUUUUUAAGUCUUAUUGACCUUUCAAAGGAGCAGCAGCAAUGGCUGUGUGAUGGUUAUUUACAGGACAUGAAAAACACAUCUAUGACUGAGCGCAUUUCCCUAAUAAGUGCCAACAGUUCCAAGGAAGUCAUAGAAUGCACUUUAUUGAAAAUGGUAAAAGGCAAAAGCUGUAGCGAAAAAAACCUUUUCGCUUGCAUUCUAUCAGAUUGCUUUGAAGGCAUUAACCCGAAUAAAACAUGUGGUCAGAAAACUGCAAUGAAUGAAACAAUCUAUAUGUUACACUUCUGGUGUUUGCUGGUCAAACUAACCAACAAAUCCAUUGAAUUUAAAAAAGGUAAGAAACAAUCAUUCCUAGAGUUUAUUAUUAUUAGAGCUUAUUAUUUGAGGUGUUGAUAAAACCAGACUGCUCUGUGAGUGAAACUAAGACAGAGAGCAUGUGUUUAUGUGCAUCAAAGAAUGUUGAAGAGAAUCAGCUAUGGCACUAUGAACUAUGGUCAGAUUGGUCAGAACUGAAUUUGGAUGUGAAAUUUAAAUUGGAUGGUGCAAA